CUCAUAUCCUAGAGCUCUCUUCCUACAGCCUCUAACAGCCUAUUACAUAGGCCUCUCUGUCUUCAUUUGCUUUCACUCCGACUAGAAUUGGAGCACCUCAAGGUACAGAGGAAAGACCAUGUGAAGACACAGGAAGAAGGUGACUGCCUACAAGCCCAGGACAGAAACUUCAGAAGGCAUCAACCUUGCUGACAGCUUGAUCUUGGAGACUCAGCCUACAGAAUUUGCUCUGCAGAACGUAAAUUAAAACCACUCACCUAAGGCAGCUGGCCACAGCAGCACAGAAGGAGUUUUUAGAGAAAGAGAUUCUAAUAAAGGAAUUUGAAAAUUAAUAGAGAGUAGGAAGAGAAGUUACCGGAGAGGAUAGUGCCAUACUAGAUAACAAAAUAAAGAGCUAAAAACACAGGAGAGAGCAGCACAAAGCCUCAAGAUCCUCAAAAGAGUUGAGCAAGAUGAAUGCUGAGACUUGUCCCCUGGAUUGGGAAAUAGCAGGACACGGAUGCCAUUUUUGCAGGGUGGCUUGAUGGAGUAAAUGAAGGGAGGCGGUCAGACUGAAAUGGAGUGGAUUCACAGUUUAGAGUUUUCUUUCUAGAAGCUCAGCAGAGAAAGAAAAGAAACAGAAGAAAUAGAAGAGAAUGUUUUGACAGGACACUUUAAUCGCAGAAGUUUAUGGUAGUUUUAUUCGUUUGUUUUUACGAGAACAGAGAUUUGAGUAUCUCUAUAGCCUGAGGGAAAAAGCCAAGAAGUAGUAAAUUGUUGCAGGUGGGAAGCCGAGAGCACCUUGCUGGGGAGACGGGAACCUUGCAAUCAGGUCAUGGAAAGGGAACGAGGUGUGAAUGGAAGGAUCUGAAGCUGAUCUCCUAAGAGUGGAGGACAGAAGGGAUUAAGAAAACAACUGGGCAGGAAGCAUGUGGUAAUUGAAGUGGCACACUGCUGCGCAGAGGUUGCUCUGGAAGUGGUGUGUGCUGAGAUCAGAUUUUCAUGUAUUGUGCCUUUCACGGUAUCACAGAACCAAGAUACAUGUACAGGGAAUGAUAUUAAGUGUUAAAUAAAAGCUGUAUAGACAUUGGGAAUUAAACUAGAAGCUGCUUACAUCCAGUGGAGCAAGGAAAAUCGAAAAACUCAAAGAAAAAUGGCAAAAGAAAUUGUUUCCAGACAAGGAAAUGAAAACAUCAUCAAAUAUUAGAGAAAGAGCAAUUCCCAGGAAAUAAUUAUCCCAAAAUGCAAAAUAAAAUUUAGGGAAUGUGUUGAUCCUCAUUAAUGAAGAACCAAGGAAAGUUUUUUAUUAAACAAGAGCAGAAAUCUCCAAGGCGAAGCUGAGAUAAAUGAGCAAGAGAAUGAGUUAUAAAGUAAAACAUACUGCCUAAUGCCCCUGCCACCCUGCAGACUGCCCGGGCAUUUCCUCUGCAGCACUGGAGUUACAUGAGUAUCAAGGGUCCAUUGUUGUUCACCCCUAGUUCUAGAAUGCUAAGCUCAGUGCUUUGAAAAGGCUCCUGUAAAGAAAACAAAACUGCCAUCUACACUGAGUCAUGUCAUCUGACUCGGUAGCGGUGAAGAUGUGUGGAGUUUAGCAUCUGAAGGUGCAAUGAACAUGUAUGCUUUAAAUGCACACGGAUAAGUAGAUGGACAAAGAGAAGAAAAUACUGGAAGACUCACAAGAAGAUUAGGCCUGAGCUAACAUCUGCUGCCAAUCCUCCUCUUUUUGCUGAGGAAGACUGGCCCUGAGCUAACAUCCAAGCCCAUCUUCCUCUACUUUAUAUGUGGGAUGCCUGCCACAACAUGGCGUGCCAAGCGGUGAAUAGGUCCACGCCCGGGAUCUGAACCGGCAAACCCCUGGCUGCUGAGAAGCGGAACGUGCGAACUUAAACCUCUGCACCACCAGGCCGGACCGAGAAUAAUAAAAUUCUAAGUGCAGAUUUGUAAGGUGGUCAGAAUAGGUGUUGCCCUUCCCCCUUACCCAUCAUUCCUUUUUAAUAUGCACACAGACAUAAUAAUUCCCAGAAAGUGAGCAGGUAGCAACUGUGGGGUUAGGGUUGGGGGUGCCUAAUGGUGUUCGCGUCAUUCUAGGAGGAAUAGUUCUAAUAAAAAAUGCUGAAGGCAAAACAAAAAGACACAUUCCUAAGUGAAAGAUAGAGGGCUGGACUGGGAAUUGUGCACAUCACUGCCUGAGAAGAGAAACUGAUCAAGACCCAACUAAAAGAGACGCAUACUAAAGGUAAGCCCACAUAUUUUGUUUAUUGAAAAAUAUUGGGGGGAUCAAUUCUUGCUCUUUCAACAUGAGCUGUAAGAAAAAGCAUACUGUUGAAGAAGUAAAAGAAAAGGAUCUCUAAAAGAUUGGGGAACAGCACAUAUGCGACAGUGGUUUCUCACUGGAACCUGCGGUAGUUAUAAGGGAGACCACAAGCAUUAGCCAUCUGGAUUGUGGGCUUCCCUCACGGUGCAGUGAGAUUAUCUCGACAACCAUGACUUCUUGAGCGAGUGGUAGCUUUCCUGAAAAGAGGGUGGAUGGCUAAACAGAAGGACAUACCACCCCAGCACUGGCUGGACCUUCAUCUGUAAUCUUGGGUUAUUCGUCUUCCUGAGUAGAAAAGAAAAAUAGCAUAAACAUGAACAGUUUCUUGAAGAGACAACUUUAGGAUUUUCUUAUAAGCAACAAACAAGGAAAAAAAUAAGUGAAAAAGCUCCCUGUAUGGUUCCAUUAGUGUUAUGGACUGAAUUGUAUCUUCCCUGGAAUUCAUGUGUUGAAACUCUAACCUCUAGUACCUCAGAAUGUGUCUUGAAGACCUUAGAGUGGCCCAUAAUCCAAUCUGGUUGUCCUUUAUAAGAAGAGGAAAUUUAGAUGCACAGAGAGACACCACAGGUGCACAGUCACAGAAGGAAGACCAUGUGAGGACACAGUGAGAAUGUGCCCCCUCCAAACCAAGGAGAGUGACCUCAGAAGACUCAAACCUGCUGACAUCUGGAUCUUGCUCUUCCAGCCUCCAGAACUGUGAGAAAAUGAAAGUCUCCUGUUUAAGCCACCCGUAUGUGGUAUUUUGUUAUGGCGGCCCUAGAACACUUGUAUAGUUAGUAACCAAAACGCACGCAAAAUCUCUCAAAAUGUAACAGCUUUCUUUUUCUUUUUUAACUCUAUAUUUUGAACCACUAAACUGUUCUCCAUCUCUGCAACUGUAUUAUUUCAAGAAUGUUACAUAAAUAGAAGCAAACAUUAUAUAAACUUUUGAGAUUGGCUGUUUUCACUCAGAACCAUUCUCUUGAAACUCAUCCAAGUAUUGUGGGCAACAAUAGUCCAUUCUUUUUUAUUGUUGAGUAAGAUGCCGUGAUAUGGAUGCACCACAGUUAGUUUAACCAUUCACUAUUGAAGGAAGUUUGAGCUGCUUCCAGUUUGGGGCUAGUACAAGUGAAGCUACUACUAACAUUCAUGUACAGGUUUUCAUGCAGAUAUGUAAGUUUUCAUUUCUCUGGAAAACAUGUUGCAGUGUGUGAUUACUGAGUCAUAUGGUAAGUAGUUUUACUUUUAUAAGUGCUUUGCUGUUUUCCAGAAUGGCUGUACCACUUUACACCACCCCCAGAAAUGCAUGAGAGGUCCAGUUUCUCUGCACCAACAAAUGAAUAGUGCAUGUGCUAUAUAAAAAUUUUCAGAACAUCAAAGUAUGGAAAUCGUCUUUUAUUUUGUGAGGUUAGCAUGCCUGGUGCACCAAAACCCGGUAGUGUGCUGGUAAGCUGACGCUCCGGAAUUUAAGAGAAAAAAAAAUGGCCUCGAUUUAUAGCACUUGCCUAUUUGCAAGGUGUAGGUAUCCCUGCCAAGGCUGGUGUCAAACUACCACAUGACUUCACUGAGAGAAAAGUUGAGAAGAUGUGCAUACAAGUGGUUCUUGCAUGGUGCAGUUCUGGUACACUGCUGCACAGAAGCGCAUAGGCAUUCGCGCGCACACACACACACACACGCAGAUUUAUCUCCUUCAUGAAUAUAGAUAGAAAUUUAAAUAAACCAGUGGUGUGAAUUUAGUGACACAAUGACAUAAUCAAAUGUAGACAGACAUAAAAUAAAAAGUAUAUCAUGGUAUAACUUUGGAAAUAAAAAGUGCAUAUUAGUGUAUUUAUGGAAUAAAAGAAACCGAAAACAGAAAAAUGUUAAUAGCAUUUAUUUCUGGGUAGUUGGAUGAUGAAUGAUGUUAGCUUUCCCGAUUAUGUUUUCCUUGAUAUCCCAAAUUCUUUUCAAUGAACAUGUUUUCUUUUAAUCAAAAUUAAAUAAUAUAUGUUAUUAUAUUUUAAGGUUUAAAAUUUGACAGGACAAAGUUAUGAAAGAACAUAGAGCAAAGCAAAACAUGGAUAAGUGGCAGUACUGUAUAAUGGACUACAGAUUCAGCUCAGAAAUAAUGAAGUUUAUUUUAAAUGGAAACUAAACAAGAUCACAAGGAGCAAAUCAGAGAUGUUUCCAGGAGAAAAUAGAUUUGAGCAUGACUUUCCCCUCCUUCCCAUCUAAGGAAAAUUCUCGAAGAGAUUCCAUACGUACCUACGUUUGUAUCUAUGUCAGAGAAGGCGAGACAGACAAGUCCUGGGAGGCAGCUUGCUGUUGUGAAGGAAAAAUGAAGUGCAUCAGAUGAUCCUGAGUUUGGAUCCUCUUCCUUCCUACGAUAUUUGGGGCAACUCACCCCCUCGAAGCCUUAGUUUCUUCCUCUCUAGCAUGGGACUAAUAUUCUUGCUUGAUUAGAAGGUUAAAUGAAGCAAUGUAUGUUUUACAAAGACUUUCCUAGAAGUUCUGUCUUAUUUUAUUUGAAAUCAUAAACCACGAAAAUCUCUGUGUAAGUUUUUACAACGAUGACAUUAAAGAUUACUGGGACAGGAAAUAUUUCACUUAGAUGAACUAGAUGGGAUUUUUAAAAAGAUUAAUUUUAAGUGAAAAGAGAGAUUAUAUGAUGUUUAAAACAUGUGUAUUAUAUUUUAAAAAUCAGUUACAGGAAGUAAAUUUUUACCUUUUAUAUGAUCCACUCGUUUGUCCAUUCAUUCAACAGAUACUUAUAGAGCACCAACUCGGUGAAAAUCAGCAUUAGUUUAGGAGAAAGUUACUGGAAAAUACAAGAUAAAUGACACCUGGGGUCAAGGAAUUUUCAAUAACUUCAACAGAUGGCAUUUUGCACAUUUCAGAGCAGUGCAGACAGCAAUGGCCAGUACUGUUGUCUCUGUGUCUAUUUCUUCUGUGGGAAUAUGUACCUCUAGGUCUGUGCCAACUAAUGCUUGAGGUUAGGACAAGCACUUAUUCGCUUGAUAAUAAAAUAGAAUGUAUAAAGUGUACAAUGAAUAUCCUAACUUAUAAUCAUCUAUUCCAGAAUUACUCAAUCUUUCGUUUAUUAGGAUAUGAUAAAAGCAAUACUCAAGUCUUAUCUUCCUGACUGCCUCCCUCUCCUCUAAAAGAGGUAAGUCGUACUAGUGUUUCACAACACUUUCCCCACUAGUUAGCUAUGACCAUUGUAUUAGUCAGCUCAGGCUGCGAUAACAAAAUACCAUCGGCUGGGUGGCUUAAACCACAGACAUUUAUUUCUCACAAUUCUGAAACCUGAGAAGUCCAAAUGCUAAAACUCCAAGGGAUGAAGGGGAAAUGAUCACUGGCAUCUAAACAGCUGCAACAACGAUGGUAUGUAAGGAUAAUAGAGUAUGAUGCAUGAGCUUCAAAUAUGCUCGGGAUUUCCAAGAAGAAGGAGUAACUGACUAGAGGCAGAAAUGAAAAGCAAGAAAGACCUACAGCACAUGGCAUGUGUGAGAGAGACAGCCACCAUCUGAAAAGGCUUCAGAGGACUGCAUAUUGUCGGGGUAAGGCUGGAUUUCAACUAAAGAAAGAAGAUGAAGGGAACUUUUGGAGGAUCGCUAGAGGUUUUAGAGAAAUUUGCCGAUGGCUGCUUGUGAGUUCCAGAGGUCUUCUUCUAGAAUGGAUUUCAAGAGUUGGAGGGGAUGGGAGAUGGACUCAGAAUAACUCAUUCAGAGAUAUAUGGGCCUGCAUUUAUGAGUAUUAGAGACAAGCCAGGAAGUCUCAGCCUUCUCUCUUAGGCUUGUCAAGGUAACAAAGGUAAACAAGAAUAAAUGGUGUGAUGAGAAAAUUCUUACGGUCAGGCAGGCAGACAGAGUUAAAGAGGCUGUGGAUGUUGGGGAUGGGUAAGGAUCUUGCCAUGAGUGUGUGGAGCUCUCCAAUAAGAUGUGUAAUCAAAAGGGGGUCAAAGUUACCAGAAACAUGUAGAAUUUAGAGGAAACACAUUUCAGCUGGAAAUUAUUGGUAUGGAUUUAAACACAUGAUCAGUAAAGUGGCAGUUCUGUAACCUUUUAAAAAUGAACAAAUGAUAG
ensembl:lncRNA